rnacentral:rRNA from 1 species
UACGAGGGGGGCGAGCGUUGUUCGGAAUUAUUGGGCGUAAAGGGUGCGUAGGCGGCCUGACAAGUCUGAUGUGAAAUCCCUGGGCUCAACCCAGGGCCUGCAUCGGAAACUGUCGGGCUUGAGUAUGGGAGAGGUGAGUGGAAUUUCCGGUGUAGCGGUGAAAUGCGUAGAUAUUCGGAAGAACACCAGUGGCGAAGGCGACUCGCUGGACAAGUAUUGACGCUGAGGUGCGAAAGCGUGGGGAGCAAACAGG